CAGUAGCCGCGGUAACACGUAGGGUGCAAGCGUUAAUCGGAAUUACUGGGCGUAAAGCGUGCGCAGGCGGUUCGCUAAGACAGAUGUGAAAUCCCCGGGCUUAACCUGGGAACUGCAUUUGUGACUGGCGGGCUAGAGUAUGGCAGAGGGGGGUAGAAUUCCACGUGUAGCAGUGAAAUGCGUAGAGAUGUGGAGGAAUACCGAUGGCGAAGGCAGCCCCCUGGGCCAAUACUGACGCUCAUGCACGAAAGCGUGGGGAGCAAACAGGAUUAGAUACCCCGGUAGUCCCUGUCUCUUAUAC
rnacentral:rRNA from 1 species